rnacentral:lncRNA from 1 species
CUACGAAGGAAAGUCAAGCAAGAAAUUUCGGAGAAGCAGUCUUUUUAAAAGGAAUCGAAGAAAUGAGAAUGGAUUGUGUCGUUUUUCCAGAUAUUUACAGAAUUACUUCUGUUGCACACAGAACGUGAGUUAUAUUUUAUUGAAAAUGUUUCGCAAUUAUGUAUAACUUUAUUGCGUUGUCACUCUAUCUACGCUUUCCCUUUUUAAAGUUCCAUAUCAAAAUACUUAUUUCUGUGACUACAACACCGAUCCUUUAAGAUAUAGUUUUUAAAUAAUAAGCAACAAAUUCAUCUCAAUGCAUAAAAUAUAAUGUACUGUGUAACAACUCUAGAUUAUAAUGAAAUGAAUAGGUAACACUAGGCCACCGAAAGCUAAACUCUUAAUUCAGUCUAGGUGGCGGAAAGUCUAGAGUGCUAGCCACAAUGCAGACGGUGUUGUCACAAUAUCCCAGUAGCAUGUGUUCCCGACGAAGAUAGAACAAACAUUUGCUUUAGUAAAUUUGCAGAUUUAAUAGUGUUGUACUAAUAUUUAGAUUAGGACAUAUUUACAACAUAAAGCAAGUAAGUUCAUUAGAUUAACUGAUGUCAAGAAUUGUUUUUUUUUCUCCAGAAUUGACGUAUUCGCUACAAUUAGCGAAACCCUUGAGGUUAACUUAAAUUCGGAAACUGCAGAUUUCCCCGAUCAACAAAUACACAGCAUCACGAAGAAACUGAUGGCAUACAGACAAAAUAUGGGUAAGACUACAUGAAGAUUAAAAUUAAAAAAUCUAUACCAGUAGA